CCUACGGGAGGCAGUAGUGGGGGAUAUUGCACAAUGGGGGGAACCCUGAUGCAGCGACGCCGCGUGGGUGAAGGAGUGCUUCGGCAUGUAAAGCCCUAUCGGCAGGGAAGAAGCAAGACGGUACCUGACUAAGAAGCCCCGGCUAACUACGUGCCAGCAGCCGCGGUAAUACGUAGGGGGCGAGCGUUAUCCGGAUUCACUGGGUGUAAAGGGAGCGUAGACGGCCAUGCAAGCCAGGGGUGAAAGCCCGGGGCCCAACCCCGGGACUGCCCUUGGAACUGUGCGGCUAGAGUGCGGGAGGGGCAGGCGGAAUUCCUGGUGUAGCGGUGAAAUGCGUAGAUAUCAGGAGGAACACCGGCGGCGAAGGCGGCCUGCUGGACUGCGACUGACGUUGAGGCUCGAAAGCGUGGGGAGCGAACAGGAUUAGAUACCCCGGUAGUC
rnacentral:rRNA from 1 species